AUCGAAUUAUAACUUUAAAAUCUAUAAUUGUCUCUUAUUAAUGAUUCGGAAAUAGAAAAAACUUGGUUUUGUUAUUAUUCUUCGUUGGUUCGUUUAAUGGAAAUUUUAUAACAACCUUAACUCAUAUGGGACUACCCCCUGAAUUUAAGCAUAUUAAUUAGGGGAGGAAAAGCCUCUAAUAAGGAUUUUCUUAGUAGCGGCGAGCGAAAAGAAAACAGUUCAGCACUAAGUCACUUUGUCUAUAUGGCAAAUGUGAGAUGCAGUGUAUGGAGCGUGAAUAUUCUAGUAUGAGAAAUUAACGAUUUAAUUAACGUAUAAAUUUAAUGAUUACUAGAUGAUGUUUCCAAAGAGUCGUGUUGCUUGAUAGUGCAUCACUAAGUGCGUGGUAAACUCCAUCUAAAACUAAAUAUAACCAUGAGACCGAUAGUAAACAAGUACCGUGAGGGAAAGUUGAAAAGAACUCUGAAUAGAGAGUUAAACAGUACGAGAAACUGCUUAGAGGUUAAGCCCGAUGAACCUGAAUAUCCGUUAUGGAAAAUUCAUCAUUAAAAUUGUAGUAUUUAAAUAAUAUUAUGAGGAUAGUGUGCAUUUUGUCCAUAUAAGGACAUUGUAAUCUAUUUGCAUAUACAAAAUGUAUCAUAAAAUAUAACUUAUAGUUAUAAUUUUAUAAUGGCAUAAUUAUCAUUGAUUUUUGUGUUUAUUAUAUGCCCUUGUAUGAUUAACAAUGCGAAAGAUUCAGGAUACCUUCGGGACCCGUCUUGAAACACGGACCAAGGAGUCUAACAUACGGGCAAGCUAUUGGGAUAUAAACCUAAUAGCGUAAUUAACUUGACUAAUAAUUGGAAUAGUUUUUUAACUAUUUAUAGCUAAUUAACACAAUCCCUGGGCGUUCUAUAUAGUUAUGUAUAAUGUAUAUUUAUAUUAUUUAUGCCUCUAACUGGAACGUACCUUGAGCAUAUAUGCUGUGACCCGAAAGAUGGUGAACUAUACUUGAUCAGGUUGAAGUCAGGGGAAACCCUGAUGGAAGACCGAAACAGUUCUUGCAAAUCGAUUGUCAGAAUUGAGUAUAGGGGCGAAAGACCGAUCGAACGAUCUAGUAGCUGGUUCCUUCCGAAGUUUCACUCAGGAUAGCUGGUGCAUUUUAAUAUUAUAUAAAAUAAUCUUAUCUGGUAAAGCGAAUGAUUAGAGGGCUUAGGGUCGAAACGAUCUUAACCUAUUCUCAAACUUUAAGUGGGUAAGAACCUUAACUUUCUUGAUAUGAAGUUCAAGGUUAUGAUAUAAUGUGCCCAGUGGGCCACUUUUGGUAAGCAGAACUGGCGCUGUGGGAAGAACCAAACGUAAUGUUACGGUGCCCAAAUUAACAACUCAUGCAGAUAACAUGAAAGGCGUUGCUUGCUUAAAACAGCAGGACGGUGAUCAUGGAAGUCAUGCCAUUGGUACAGAUCUUGGUGGUAGUAGUAAAUAAUCGAUAGAAUAAUGUAGGUAAGGGAAGUCGGCAAAUUAAAUCCGUAACUUGGGGAUAACGAUUGGCUCUGAAGAUUGAGAUAGUCGGGCUUGAUUGGGAAACAAUAACAUGGUUUAUGUGCUCGUUCUGGGUAAAUAGAGUUUCUAGCAUUUAUGUUAGUUACUUGUUCCCGGAUAGUUUAGUUACGUAGCCAAUUGUGGAACUUUCUUGCUAAAAUUUUUAAGAAUAUUUUUUGGGUUAAACCAAUUAGUUCUUAUUAAUUAUAACGAUUAUCAAUUAACAAUCAAUUCAGAACUGGCACGGACUUGGGGAAUCCGACUGUCUAAUUCAAACAAAGCAUUGUGAUGGCCCUAGCGGGUGUUGACACAAUGUGAUUUCUGCCCAGUGCUCUGAAUGUCAAAGUGAAGAAAUUCAAGACUUCAAGAAAUUCCUACUGUCCCUAUCUACUUACUGUCAGUGACGGACGUGUUUUCUACGAGCUCCCAUUAAUAAGGUCAUUUUUGGUGUAAGUCCGCGGUAUGACACCGCCGCACAGGUAGCUGCCAGAAGGCGACUGUCCUCCUGCCAUAGACUGAUCCUGCUUGGAUGUCUAUCGGUAUACCGAACAGUGUUCACCGCGGCACUUCAGGUUCUUGGUGGAGCCCCUCCGCUUGACUUGGCUGCUAAGAAAUUAGCAGUCAAAUACAAGCUGAAGCGUGGAUACCCGCUGGAGGAGAACGACUAGCUCUAUGGCGAGGAGAUUGCACGUCUAAGCCGGGAGCAAAAAGAGAUUCGCCUAGAGGAAUGCGACUAAGGCGACUAAUGCGGCAAUAGCUCACUCCGCCCGUGCUUGUCGGCUAGGUAGAACUCGCUCCUCAGCAAGGGGGAGUGCUUGCCCGGCAAGCAAGUGCUCGAAUUGCUACCGGGGUGGUUGCUAUGUACAUAGCUAUAGCUUCCAGACCGGCACGUUUUGUCUAGCGUAUCUGGACACAUACAUUAUAUGCGCACUUGUGGGUGUAUAGGGUGCCGUGGUUGUAAUCCCUUCAGUGUGGAACACGCCACGUAAAUCAAGUUCGGAGGGAUCCGAUUCAAACCCUGUCCCUAUCUACUAUCUAGCGAAACCACAGCCAUGGGAAAGGGCUUGGAAUAAUUAGCGGGGAAAGACCCUUUUGAGCUUGACUCUAAUCUGGCAGUGUAAGGAGACAUAAGAGGUGUAGAAUAAGUGGGAGAUAUUAGACCUCGGUUUGGUAGCGUCAAUGAAAUACCACUACUCUUAUUGUUUCCUUACUAACUUGAUUCAAUGGAACGUAUAUCAUUUCCUAGCCAUUAUACGGAUAUAUUUAUUAUAUCUUAUGGUAUUGGGUUUUGAUGCAAGCUUCUUGAUCAAAGUAUCACGAGUUUGUUAUAUAAUCGCAAACAAAUUCUUUAAUAAAACGAUGCAUUUAUGUAUUUUUGAUUUGAAAAUUUGGUAUAACUCCAAUUACACAGGUAUGAUUCAAUUCAAGGACAUUGCCAGGUAGGGAGUUUGACUGGGGCGGCACAUCUCUCCAAUAAUAACGGAGGUGUCCCAAGGCCAGCUCAGUGCGGACAGAAACCACACAUAGAGCAAAAGGGCAAAUGCUGACUUGAUCUCGGAGUUCAGUACACACAGGGUCAGCAAAAGCUCGGCCUAUCUUUUGGUUUAAAGAGUUUUUAACAAGAGGUGUCAGAAAAGUUACCAUAGGGAUAUCUGGCUUGUGGCGGCCAAGCGUUUAUAGUGAUCAUUGUGAAGCAAAAUUCACCAAACGUUGGAUUGUUCACCCAUGCAAGGGAAGGUGAACUGGGUUUAGACCGUCGUGAGACAGGUUAGUUUUACCAUACUAAUGACAAAACGUUGUUGCGACAGCAUUCCUGCGUAGUACGAGAGGAACCGCCGGUACGGUCCAAUGGCACAAUACUUGUUCGAGCGAACAGUGGUAUGACGCUAAGUCCGUUGGAUUAUGCCUGAACGCCUCUAAGGUCGUAUCCGUGCUGGACUGCAAUGAUAAAUAAGGGGCAAUUUGCAUUGUAUGGCUUCUAAACCAUUUAAAGUUUAUAAUUUACUUUAUAAACGGCAAUGGAUGUGAUGCCAAUGUAAUUUGUAACAUAGUAAAUUGGGAGGAUCUUCGAUCACCUGAUGCCGCGCUAGUUACAUAUAAAACCAUUAUUU
rnacentral:rRNA from 1 species